AACUCCCCAAGCUAAGGUUCUGAAUUAAACUACCCUCUG
rnacentral:tRNA from 1 species